ensembl:lncRNA LINC02341 long intergenic non-protein coding RNA 2341
GGGGGUUGUCAAAACCUGUGGAAAUGUGGCCUUUGGUGACCGGCCAUGGCAUAAUAUGACAACAUUUCUGGAGUAGUCCAGCACUGGGAAUGGUACCCUUGGGUCAGGCCGUACCAUUCCUCCUGCCGUCCUCACAUAUUCUCCCACGGUUCUGCAGAUGAAAUGUAAGAACUUCCUCCAGGUAAUCUUCCACUGGCAGGCUGCAUUGUCAACAGCAGCUGUCCUCCAGAAACUCAGUACUGUGUUUUAAAGAUCUAUUCAUAAUGAUGUGCGUACAUCUGGUUCUUAGCUUCUACUUGUUGAAGAGUCUUCAUGGUGCGUGUAACCCCUUUCACCUAUCUACUCAGCCAAUGGACACCAAGACUGCCUCCAAGUCUCUGCCACGAUGACCAUUCUCAUACAGCUUCCCUCAUGGACUCACACACCUGCAGUGGAAUUGUGCUGGAGGAGCCAAAUAGUCAAGACUGGGGAAAGGAGAGGAGGAAGAAGACCAUGAAGUAGGGAACCUACUGAUCCUAGGAGCCAUCCAGGAACUGCAACUAUUGUGUGCCUAAAUACAGGAAGGGCCAGCGACUGAGGAUGUGCCUUCUGGAUGCCUGCCACGUUUCCUGCUCAUUCACCCAAGCCUGCCGAGAUAUCAGUUUACCCAGAGAGUCAACGUACUUUUUCCACAGUGAGACCAAUUGAGAACACAAGUAUCCCAAUUUCCAGAAUUAAGUAGGAAUGUGACUUCAUUUCUGCUUGUCCCUGGAGCAACUCUGCAGAUUCACCUGGGCUGUCUAAGGCAGGAGUGAUUUUUGUAAAGAGCUGGCUGCCUGUCUGCAUGGUCUUGGAUUGCUUGCAGCCUGAAGGAACCACUGGAAAUAAAGUCUCACCUACCAAAUCAUAAUAAAUAUCUAUAUAUUUGGAGAUAGAGAUGAAAACCAUGUGGCUGUAUCCAGUUGGAGUGAAAAAUAUGAACUAUGAAGAAAGAAGGAGUUCUGCUUCUUCCAAAGGAGUGACUCCCAAAGGAACAAGAAUUGACCAUAGGUUAUGGCUUGUGUUACAAUACACCGAUGUUGUCUUUGAGGCCAUCCACUGACGUCCUCACCCAUGGCAUAAGCAAGUUUUUCUGAAGGAAGAAGCAGCAGAAUAAAUUGGAUACUUAAUGAUUGUCUACCCCUUCAAGCUAAUGUGCAUAAGAUUAACACUACUCCAUUUCCCACUACUUUGCAUCUGGGGACACUUCUUACAAGGAUUCAUAUGCCAUGAGGACUGGCAUUAUGUUGAGGUGGAAUAAAGAGCUGGUUACAUCC